rnacentral:rRNA from 1 species
UACGUAGGGGGCAAGCGUUGUCCGGAUUUAUUGGGCGUAAAGAGCGUGUAGGCGGCCAGGUAGGUCCGCUGUGAAAACUCGAGGCUCAACCUCGAGAUGUCGGCGGAAACCAUCUGGCUAGAGUCCGGAAGAGGAAAGUGGAAUUCCCGGUGUAGCGGUGAAAUGCGCAGAUAUCGGGAAGAACACCCGUGGCGAAGGCGGCUUUCUGGGCCGAUACUGACGCUGAGGAGCGAAAGCGUGGGGGGAGCGAACAGG